rnacentral:tmRNA from 1 species
GGGGCCGACCAGGUUUCGACGUGGAUGCGGAUCCGAUGUAGGGCAUGUCGAGCACCAGUUCGCUCGUAAAUCCACUGGAAACAAACUAACUGCAAACGAUCAAACGUUCGCACUCGCCGCUUAAAACCGGUGAGCCUCACAACAGUUGGCCGAUGGGCUGGGCUGGAGUCGCAAGACAAAGGCUGUGAGGUCAUUCACAUUGGCUGGUUCUUUGCCGGGUCACUCGGUAGAGAACAAGAUUAAGUGACUGGCGAAUCCUGUAGCGUGCCACUGCGCGACAGGGUUCGUGAGACUCAAAUCAGACGGCUACACAUGUAGAACUGCUCGGUGAUGGUUUACGGACGGGGGUUCAAUUCCCCCCGGCUCCACCA